AGUGAACGCUGGCGGUAGGCCUAACACAUGCAAGUCGAACGGCAGCACGGUAAGAGCUUGCUCUUACGGGUGGCGAGUGGCGGACGGGUGAGGAAUACAUCGGAAUCUACUUUUUCGUGGGGGAUAACGUAGGGAAACUUACGCUAAUACCGCAUACGACCUACGGGUGAAAGCAGGGGAUCUUCGGACCUUGCGCGAUUGAAUGAGCCGACGUCGGAUUAGCUAGUUGGCGGGGUAAAGGCCCACCAAGGCGACGAUCCGUAGCUGGUCUGAGAGGAUGAUCAGCCACACUGGAACUGAGACACGGUCCAGACUCCUACGGGAGGCAGCAGUGGGGAAUAUUGGACAAUGGGCGCAAGCCUGAUCCAGCCAUACCGCGUGGGUGAAGAAGGCCUUCGGGUUGUAAAGCCCUUUUGUUGGGAAAGAAAAGCAGCAGGUUAAUACCCCGCUGUUCUGACGGUACCCAAAGAAUAAGCACCGGCUAACUUCGUG
rnacentral:rRNA from 1 species